rnacentral:rRNA from 1 species
AAUUUAACCGAGACUAAAAUGCAUUGCUAAAUACAAGAAUACUUGACCAACCAAUACUAACUAAUGAGAAAUACACCUUAAAUACCUUCAUGGCCCAUCUAGAACCACAAAGUAUAAUCACGCACACACUUACAUAUAAAACAAACACAAAAUGAACGAUAAAAGCAAGAAUAAAACUUC